UUUUUUUUUAUGUCCAGGACCUACGGGCCAAGGGACAGUCUCAAGUAGGCAGUAUCUAUGGGGCGUAGGCCUCUUAAAAGGUAACGGAGGCGUGCAAAGGUUUCCUCGGGCCGGACGUAGAUUAACCCUUGAGUGCAAAAGCAGAAGGGAGCUUAACUGCAAGACCCACCCGUCAAGCAGGGAUGAAAGUCGGCCUUAGUGAUAUCUUAUAAGUAUAUUAUACAUACUAAGUAUAGGAAGUAGAUUCAUAGUAGUUCAUUUAUAAGCGAAAGGUUUGAUUUACCUAGUGAGUUUAGACUAAACUAGUAAA
rnacentral:ncRNA from 1 species